CCCAACCAACCAUUAUGCAGUGCUCAUUUUCUUCCUUUCUAUAUCAGUAUCCAUUUAGCAUAUUUUAUAUGGCUGAAAUUAUAUUACCUUAAUAAUAUGCAUAUUCAAUAAUACAAAGCAGAUAAACUUUAUAAAUUUGCGAUCUUCCUAGCAAUUGUUCUGAGAAUUUGAAGGGUUUAAUAGAUGGCUUUCUAUGGAUACAAUGGUGAUGAUGAUAAAGGCCCUGAAGUUGGAAGAAUCUUUCAUAAAAAUAGUUCCGAGCAAUUUGAAGCAGCUAGAAUUGUUGAAGACCAAGGGAAAUCUAUUUUGUUUUAUUAGGAGUUGUGGUCGUCAUCUGUACAAAUUACUAUUUUACUUUCUCUUUAAUUUUUUGUUUUCUUUAAGGAAUUGAAAAAAAAGGAUCGUGCAAUUUGGAUGUAAUAUAUAUUAUUGCUACUUUGAUUAGUUCUCUAUAAUUAAAAAAGAUAUUUUAUGUCAA